rnacentral:rRNA from 1 species
CCGAGUUUACAACUCCCAAACCCAAUGUGAACGUUACCAAACUGUUGCCUCGGCGGGAUCUCUGCCCCGGGUGCGUCGCAGCCCCGGACCAAGGCGCCCGCCGGAGGACCAACCAAAACUCUUAUUGUAUACCCCCUCGCGGGUUUUUUACUAUCUGAGCCAUCUCGGCGCCCCUCGUGGGCGUUUCGAAAAUGAAUCAAAACUUUCAACAACGGAUCUCUUGGUUCUGGCAUCGAUGAAGAACGCAGCGAAAUGCGAUAAGUAAUGUGAAUUGCAGAAUUCAGUGAAUCAUCGAAUCUUUGAACGCACAUUGCGCCCGCCAGUAUUCUGGCGGGCAUGCCUGUCCGAGCGUCAUUUCAACCCUCGAACCCCUCCGGGGGGUCGGCGUUGGGGAUCGGCCCUUUACGGGGCCGGCCCCGAAAUACAGUGGCGGUCUCGCCGCAGCCUCUCCUGCGCAGUAGUUUGCACACUCGCAUCGGGAGCGCGGCGCGUCCACAGCCGUUAAACACCCCAAACUUCUGAAAUGUUGACCUCGGAUCAGGUAGGAAUACCCGCUGAACUUAAGCAUAUCAAAAGCCGGAGGAAA